GACGAACGCUGGCGGCGUGCUUAACACAUGCAAGUCGAACGGUAAGGCCCUUCGGGGUACACGAGUGGCGAACGGGUGAGUAACACGUGGGUGAUCUGCCCUGCACUUCGGGAUAAGCCUGGGAAACUGGGUCUAAUACCGGAUAGGACCCUGGGAUGCAUGUCCUGGGGUGGAAAGCUUUUGCGGUGUGGGAUGGGCCCGCGGCCUAUCAGCUCGUUGGUGGGGUGAUGGCCUACCAAGGCGACGACGGGUAGCCGGCCUGGGAGGGUGAACGGCCAAACUGGGACUGAGAUACGGCCCAGACUCCUACGGGAGGCAGCAGUGGGGAAUAUUUCACAAUGGGCGCAAGCCUGAUGCAGCGACGCCGCGUGAGGGAUGACGGCCUUCGGGUUGUAAACCUCUUUCAGCACCGACGAAGCGCAAGUGACGGUAGGUGCAGAAGAAGGACCGGCCAACUACGUGCCAGCCGCCGCAGUAA
rnacentral:rRNA from 1 species